rnacentral:rRNA from 1 species
GAUGAACGCUGGCGGCGUGCCUAAUACAUGCAAGUCGAGCGAACAGAUGAGGAGCUUGCUCCUCUGACGUUAGCGGCGGACGGGUGAGUAACACGUGGAUAACCUACCUAUAAGACUGGGAUAACUUCGGGAAACCGGAGCUAAUACCGGAUAAUAUAUUGAACCGCAUGGUUCAAUAGUGAAAGACGGUUUUGCUGUCACUUCUAGAUGGAUCCGCGCCGCAUUAGCUAGUUGGUAAGGUAACGGCUUACCAAGGCAACGAUGCGUAGCCGACCUGAGAGGGUGAUCGGACACACUGGAACUGAGACACGGUCCAGCCUCAUACGGGAGGCCGCAGUAGGGAAUCUUGCGCAAUGGGCGAAAGCCUGACGGUGCAAAGCCGCGUGAGUGAUGAAGGUCUUAGGAUCGUAAAACUCUGUUAUGAGGGAAGAACAAAUGUGUAAGUAACUAUGCACGUCUUGACGGUACCUAAUCAGAAAGCCACGGCUAACUACGUG